AGGACAUUAAGUUAAGGAGACUGUGGCAUUUCAAGUGCCGCAGUGAACUGGUUGUUCAUGUCUUG
rnacentral:tRNA from 1 species